GGCCAGGUUCCAGAAGCAUUCUCUCCUGAUGUUUUGCCCACAUCUAUGGCAGGCAUGCUCAGAGGUUGUUGAGGUCUCUUGGAAAUUAGUCUAGUGGGGUUUACAUAUCUGUGGAAUAAUGUCCAGGGUGGGAGAAAGAAACAAAACCUCUCUGUUGGAGGCAAGUGUGAAUGUUGCAAUUGAUUAGCAUUGAAUAGCCUUGCAGCUUCAAAGCCUGGCUGCUUCCUGCCUGGGCGAAAUCCUUUGUUGGGAGGUGUUAACUGGCCCUGAUUGUUUCCUGUCUGGAAUUCUCCUGUCUUCUGAGUAUUGUUAUUUAUUUACUGUGCUGUGGUCUGGAAACAGAAUAUUUUGGGGCUCUUAAAAGAAUGAAUAUGCAACCUACUGUUACUUGGAGCAGCUGUUUUGCAGGCUGACUAAUCUGGAUCUGAGACUCUCCCUUCGUUAAGAUAUUCAAGUGAAUACAUGCAACGUGGAAGAUGUGAAAAAAAAUAUGGCGCGUUGGUUUAAAAAAAAAAAACUGGGCUCGCGCUGUGAGCAGGAUUCGAACCUGCGCAGGGAAACCCUAUUGGAUUUCGAGUCCAACGCCUUAACCACUCGGCCAUCACAGCCACCUGAUGCGUAGAAGGGGGGCCGCGCGCACCUAUCCUUUGCUUUGGCAUUGCCUUCCUUGCAAUGCAAAGCCUCUUUUUGGAGUGUACCAUUUCAGAGAUGGAGGGGGAGAAAACAGUUCCAGGGACCCAAAUGCUUCUUUCUGCGCACGCGUGUCGCCUCUUACGGAGUAGUAGAAUCCUAGGCCAAAGCUGUAAUAUAAUAACCAUCUUUGCAUCUCAAUUUCUAGCUGCAGGGACCCUGCAAUUAUUCAAUUGUUUGGGCCCACUCACCUGCGCUCUAAAAUGGUAUGUCCCCUUUGAGUCCCAAUUUUGAAGCUGAAACAGAAAAGCAGGGCAAGCACUGAGCCUUAUUUUUGGGACUGAAAGAGAAAAGAAAGGCAGGUGUUUUGGACUUCAGCUCCCAGAAUUCCUGAUUACCGGACAAGCUGGCUAGGGCUUCUAACAAUUAAAGGCCCAAACACCUGGUUUAUGCCCAUCUUUCUCUUGGGAUGGAAUACAAAAACCGAAGACAAACACCUGUUUCAACUUGUGCAAAACCAGGUACUUUUGCUAAUUGUUAUAGCAGUCAUGGCAUCAAUAGGUCAGAGUGAAGUAAAGGCCGCGUUUUGGACUGGAGUCCCCAGAAUCCACCAGAUAUCAUGGAGUUCUGGUCCAAAGAAGUAUAUCACUUCGUGGAGACUGUAGUAGAUGAUGGUGGCUUUUCCAGUCAAACGUGGGUAUGAUCAACUGGUUCCACUGUGAUCCAUUAGGAUUUGGAGGCCCUAUCUAUACCGCUAUAUAAUGCAGUUUCAAACUGCAUUAUUUGGCCAUAUAUGGAAAUGGGACAUAUGUAUGUAAGUAUGUAUGCAUAUAUAUAGGCGCCCCUGAUGGUGCAGCGGGUUAAACCGCUGAGCUGCUGAACUUGCUGACCCAAAGGUUGGUGGUUGGAAUCUGGGGUGCGGGGUGAGCUCCCACUGUUAGCCCUAGCUUCUGUCAAUCUUAACAGUUUGAAAACAUGCAAAUGUGAAUAGAUCAAUAAGUGCUGUUCCGGCAGGAAGGUAAGAACGCUCCAUGCAGUCAUGCCAGCCACAUGACUUUGGAGGUGUCUAUGGACAACGCUCUUUUUAAAGCUCUUCGGCUUAAAAAUGGAGAUGAGCAUCAACCCUCAGAGUUGGACACGACUGGACUUAAUGUCAGGGGAAAACCAAAAAUUCAUUCUCAUAUAUGUGUGUGUGUAUAUAUAUAUGUGUGUGUGUGUAUGUGUGUGUGUGUGUGUAUAUAUAUAUAUAUAGGUAAAGGUUUUCCCCUGACAUUAAGUCCAGUCAUGACCGACUCUGGGGGUUGGUGCUCAUCUCCAUUUCUAAGCCGAAGAGCCGGCGUUGUCCGUAGACACCUCCAAGGUCAUGUGGCCGGCAUGACUGCAUGGAGUGCCGUUACCUUCCCGCCGGAGCGGUACCUAUUGAUAUACUCACAUUUGCAUGUUUUCAAACUGCUAGGUUGGCAGGAGCUGGUGCUAACAGCGGGUGCUCAUUCUGCUCCCGGGAUUUGAACCUGGGACCUUUCGGUCCGCAAGUUCAGCAGCUCAGCACUUUAACACACUGUGCCACCACCAGGGGCCCAUAUAUACAUAUAUACACACAUAUAUACAUACACACACACACACACACACACACACACGAUUCAGCCCAGAUCACAGUGCCCCCUAGGCCCCUCCUGGAGUACUGCAGCCCACUCCCCAAUAUUCCCAUUUGCUGAGUUGGGUGUCAAAUGGGUCACUUGGCAAGUUGGACCAUCUUGAGUUGUGAACAAUUCCCCCAAAAAGGUGUGAUUAGGAAAAGUCCGGGACCUGAAGCCAGCUCUUGUUCCCACGGACUAGAAAGAGAGCAUUUGCGAGGAGGUGAUAGUCAUAAAUGCCUAAAUCAGCCACAACUUGCUCUUAAAAACAAGGGGUGGUCAAGGGAUGGGGUGAUAACAGCAGAGGAAAAACAACCCAGCCACCCGUACCAUGAUCCUAUUGACCAUCCCUCCUCAUACUUACACCGAAUGGGGUCAGGAAGAUGGAGAUGGUUGCAUUUGAAAAAUAUCGCCACCUUGCACAAUCACCUGAUGUUUUCUUGAAAAGCAAAUCAUUGCAGCGGGGAUCUUGCCUGCAAUAUGAAAAAGGGAGAAAAAGAAGCUUAUCUGAGUUUAAUAAUAACAAAAACAAAAAUGUUAUUUCUUAUUUACCUCUCUUUGCAGCAUGAGAUGGGACACAACAUAGGCUCCUACUAUACUGCCAUAUAAAUCCAGAUUAUCCUCUUUGAACUGGAUUUUGUGGCAGUGUAGACUCAUGUAAUCCAAUUCAAAGCAGAUCAUGUGGAUUACCUGCUUUGAUAAUCUGUAUUAUAUGGCAAUAUGGAAUGGGCCAUAGUUAUAUUAACAUACACAGAGCAGAGAUUAAUAAUAGGCCACCAUUCACCCCUGUGUUCCUUUAAAUAAUCAGCUCAAAUGCAAGUAAAUUGAGUUCAGUGUGUUCUUCCAAAGUAAAGGUGAGUAGUGUAUGUGCCUAUAGGGGUACGUCUACAGAAUGAAUGCAGUUUUGUGGGUUGCUGUGAGUGUUCUGGGCUGUAUGGCCAUGUUCCAGAAGCAUUCUCUCCUGACAUUUCGCCCACAUCUAUGGCAGGCAUCCUCAAUGGUUGUGAGGUCUGUUGGAAACUAAGCACGUGAGGUUUAUAUAUCUGUGGAAUAAUGUCCAGGGUGGGAGAAAGGACUCUUGUCUGUUUAAGGCAAGUGUGAAUGUUGGAAUUGGACAACUUGAUUGGCAUUGAGUGGCCUUUCAACUUCAAAGCCUGGCUGCUUCCUGCCUGGGGGAAUCCUUUGUUGGGAGGUGUUAGCUGGCUCUGAUUGUUUCUUGUCUGGAAUUGCCCUGUAUUCUGAGUGUUGUUCUUUAUUUACUGUACUGAUUUUAGAGUUUUUUUUUAAUACUGAUAGCCAGAUUGUGUUCGUUUCCAUGGUUUCCUCUUUUCUGUUGAAAUUGUCCACAUGCUUGUGAAUUUCAAUGGCUUCACUGUGCAGUCUGACAUAGUGAUUAUUAGAGUGGUCCAGCAACGUUAGGAGAGAAUGCUUCUGGAACAUGGCGACACAGCCUGGAAAACUCACAGCAACCCAGUGAUUCUGUCCAUGGAAAUCUUUGACAACACAAUGCAAGAUUGCCCAAACCCGCUUUAGAAUGAAUGAGCAAAAAAAAAAAAAAAAAAUCAUGUUGCAUUGGCCGGGAAUCGAACCCGGGCCUCCCGCGUGGCAGGCGAGAAUUCUACCACUGAACCACCAAUGCUCUGGAAAACAUCUGGAUUUUCCCCUGUGAGAUGCUGCUGCCUGAUGCUCACCUAAGCCAGCACUUACACUCCAUUCUCCAACUUUCCCAUUUUCAUUUCCAUGAUGAGAAACACAUUCAUCUUUUCCAGCUAUUAUCUAGAUAGAGUUUCACUUACCCAACAUUCGCUUAUCCAAUGUUCUGGAUUAUCCAACGCAGUUUGCCUUUUAGUAGUCAAUGUUUUUGUAGUCAGUGUUUUCAAUACAUUGUGAUGUUUUGGUGCUAAAUUUGUAAACACAGUAAUUACUACAUAGCAUUACUGCAUAUUGAACUACUUUUUCUGUCAAAUUUGUUGUAAAACUUGAUGUUUUGGUGCUUAGUUUGUAAAAGCAUAAUCUAAUUUGAUGUUUAAUAGGCUUUUCCUUAAUCCCUCCUUAUUAUACAAAAUAUUCUCGUAUCCAAUGUUCUGCCGGCCCAUUUAUGUUGGAUAACUGAGACUCUACUGUAUUAUUAAAUGUCCAAACAUCUACAUCAGGAAUGGGCAAACUUAGACCCUGGGCCCUUCCAUACAGCCAUAUAAUCCGGAAUAUCAAGGCAGAUAAUCCAUAAAGUCUUUUUUGAAUUGGGUUAUCUCCUUCCACACAGCUGAAUAAAAUCCUACAUUAUCUGCUUUGAACUGGAUUAUAUGGCAGCGUGGACUCAAGACAACCCAGUUCAAAGCAGAUAUUGUGGGAUUUUCUGCCUUGAUAUUGAAGGUUAUAUGGCUGUGUGGAAGGGCCCUGAGCCAACACUGGCAUUGGUGGUUGUUUGAUAUUAUUACUGUUGUAUAAACCUUUGUUUUAACUUCUGUUUUAUUAUCUUCUCGUGUUUUAAACUGUGUAUAUUGUUAAUGUAUUUGCACUGUUACUUUUGUAACAUUGUGAACCGCCCCAAGUCCCCACGGGGAGAUGGUGGUGGGGUAUAAAUAAAGUUUAUUAUUAUUA